rnacentral:rRNA from 1 species
UAACCUGCCCAUAAGAGGGGGAGUAACAUCCGGAAACGGGUGGCUAAUACCGCAGUAGUUUUCUUGAUCGCAUGAUCGGGAAAGGAAAGACGGCCUUUGUGCUGUCGCUUAUGGAUGGAACCCGCGGCGUAUUAGUUAGUUGGUGAGGUAACGGCUCACCAAGACGAUGAUACGUAGCCGACCUGAGAGGGUGAUCGGCCACAUUGGGACUGAGACACGGCCCAAACUCCUACGGGAGGCAGCAGUAGGGAAUCUUCCGCAAUGGACGAAAGUCUGACGGAGCAACGGCCGCGUGAGUGAAAAGAAGGUUUUCGGAUCGUAAAACUCUGUUGUCAGAGAAGAACAAGUUGGAGAGUAACUGCUCCAGCCUUGACGGUAUCUGACCAGAAAGCCACGGCUAACUACGUGCCAGCCGCCGC